rnacentral:rRNA from 1 species
UACGUAGGGGGCAAGCGUUGUCCGGAUUUAUUGGGCGUAAAGAGCGUGUAGGCGGCUAGAUAGGUCCGUUGUGAAAACUCGAGGCUCAACCUCGAGACGCCGGUGGAAACCAUCUAGCUAGAGUCCGGAAGAGGAGAGUGGAAUUCCCGGUGUAGAGGUGAAAUUCGUAGAUAUCGGGAGGAACACCGGUGGCGAAGGCGGCGAUCUGGGUAGAUACUGACGCUGAGGUGCGAAAGCGUGGGGAGCAAACAGG